rnacentral:rRNA from 1 species
UACGAAGGGGGCUAGCGUUGUUCGGAUUUACUGGGCGUAAAGGGCGCGUAGGCGGCAUAUUAAGUCAGCUGUGAAAUCUCCGAGCUUAACUCGGAACGGUCAGCUGAUACUGAUGUGCUAGAGUGCAGAAGGGGCAAUCGGAAUUCUUGGUGUAGCGGUGAAAUGCGUAGAUAUCAAGAGGAACACCUGAGGUGAAGACGGGUUGCUGGGCUGACACUGACGCUGAGGCGCGAAAGCCAGGGGAGCAAACGGG